GAACCAACUGUGGACCUGGUGUAAAACCUUACCACCAUAGAUCUUCAAUUUUGAGCUUGAUGCUACUUAUGAAUUAUGUUUUUGGACUGUCCCCUUUGGUGGUGAAGAACUGUUGUUGUGUAUAACUUCUUCGGACAAGUCCUCCGUGAUGGCUAAUUUUAUGUGUCAGCGUGGCUGGGAUAUGGUACCCAUCUGUUUGGUCAACGCUAGUCUAGUCCAGGUGUUCCUGUGCAGGAGCUCAAAGGUUUAACAACGAAGGCUGACUUUUCCUGAAGAGAAAGAAUUCUGCCUCCAGACUGCAGCAUGGACGCCUGAGUUCCCAACCUGUGGAUUUCAGGCUCAGAUUGGCAACGUCAGCUCUGCCUGGAGUUUGCAGCCUGCCAGCCGCUUAAGGAAUUGCGGACUUGCCCGCUCCCACAAUUGCACCAGCUAAUUCCUUAAUCAAUCCCCCCCCACCCCGCUUUGUCAUUACAUGUGUAUCUAUUGGUUCUGUUACUUCGGAGAGCCAUAACAUACGCACUUAGCACAAUUUGAGUUACUACAGACUAUCCACUUUGUUUUUCUAACGGUUUGGAAAACAAUUUUAAACUACAGAACUUUGACAAAUAUGCACAAUGCAUUAUAAAGCUCUUACCUGAAUUUACUAAUUUUUGCUAUAUAUAUAUAGCUUUUUCUGAAUUACUUGAAAGUAAGCGACGGACGGUAAAAUACUUCCGCAGCUAGGUGCCUCUUUUAUUCCUGAAUAUUUCUUCCUGCAUCUGCUAAGACUAUUUAUUAUUCACCAUGACAUGCCGA